AUUACUUCUUGGCCUUUUUGCUAAGAUCAAGUAUAGUAUCUGUUCUAUCAGUUUGAUAUAAUUUUUUCCACCAACUUAACAGAUAAUAGAUAAUAUUGGUGGAGGUAGUGAUGAUUUUUGGGCCAUUCUAGAUGCUCAACAGUUACUCCUGGCUCUGUGCUCAAGAAUUGCUCCUGGUGGUACUCGGGGCAACCAUA